AAACAUAACAAAAAUAGGAUUAAUCUUGUUCAGUUGCUUGUUCUAUGGGUUUUCAGGAAAUAACUUCUAUGAACAAAUCCUUUGAGCUUAUGUUUAGGCAUAUCAUUUGAUGAAAGACUGUUGUGAUUAUAUCACCCUGUAGAGGGACUUGCUGAGAAGUAACCUUAGUAAGGAGUUAACUUCAUAAGAAUUAUUUACAAGCAGCCUAGAGGAUAAUACUGCUUGGGA
rnacentral:misc_RNA from 1 species